rnacentral:rRNA from 1 species
CGGGUGAGUAACGCGUGAGGAACCUGCCUCAAAGAGGGGACAACAGUUGGAAACGGCUGCUAAUACCGCAUAAGCCCACGGCUCGGCAUCGAGCAGAGGGAAAAGGAGCAAUCCGCUUUGAGAUGGCCUCGCGUCCGAUUAGCUAGUUGGUGAGGUAAUGGCCCACCAAGGCGACGAUCGGUAGCCGGACUGAGAGGUUGAACGGCCACAUUGGGACUGAGACACGGCCCAG